ACGGAAGGCAGCAGUGGGGAAUAUUGCACAAUGGGGGGAACCCUGAUGCAGCAACGCCGCGUGAGCGAAGAAGGCCUUUGGGUCGUAAAGCUCUGUCCUAAGGGAAGAAGAAGUGACGGUACCUUAGGAGGAAGCCCCGGCUAACUACGUGCCAGCAGCCGCGGUAAUACGUAGGGGGCGAGCGUUAUCCGGAAUUAUUGGGCGUAAAGGGUACGUAGGCGGAAUAUUAAGCGUGGGGUGAAAGGCAAAGGCUUAACCAUUGUAAGCCCUGCGAACUGAUAUGCUUGAGUGCAGGAGAGGAAAGCGGAAUUCCUAGUGUAGCGGUGAAAUGCGUAGAUAUUAGGAGGAACACCAGUGGCGAAGGCGGCUUUCUGGACUGUAACUGACGCUGAGGUACGAAAGUGUGGGUAGCGAACAGGAUUAGAUACCCUGGUA
rnacentral:rRNA from 1 species